rnacentral:rRNA from 1 species
UACGGGGGGGGGCAAGCGUUGUUCGGAAUUACUGGGCGUAAAGGGCUCGUAGGCGGCCAACUAAGUCAGACGUGAAAUCCCUCGGCUCAACCGGGGAACUGCGUCUGAUACUGGGUGGCUUGAAUCCGGGAGAGGGAUGCGGAAUUCCAGGUGUAGCGGUGAAAUGCGUAGAUAUCUGGAGGAACACCGGUGGCGAAGGCGGCAUCCUGGACCGGUAUUGACGCUGAGGCGCGAAAGCCCAGGGGAGCAAAGCGGGG